UCGGAGGAGUUAGCGAAAUUCCAAUGUGUGCGGAUCUGCAAAAAAUGCAAAAUAACCCUUUAACCGUACAUUUGACAGAUACGCCCGCACUGACUUUUUUGUAGAUCUUAUUGAGAUACAUGUGUGUGUCAAUUUUUGUGUCAAUAUGACAAAGCGUACAGGCGUGACAGUCAAUAGUGUGAAUUUUCACCUUAGGGGGCGCUAUGGAGCCAUUUUGCAUUUUCUUGUUUGGGCGACUUCAGAAUAUCGAAUUUUUCACCAGGCCCGGUCGUCCUGCCAAAUUUCAUGAGUUUUCGCCAGUGGGAAGUGGGCCAUUUUCCAGUUUAAAGCGGAGGAAAAAUAAUAAUAAUAACAAACUAGGGCCCCGUUGGGGCACUGGCGGGCCCGAGCCGUGUCGCGCCACCCCCAACACGACCGCCUCUCCCUACCGAUCGCGUCACACUCAAGGUCCAAAGAUGGUGUGCCCACUUGUCUGUGGUCAUUUACAAUUAUAAUGAAUGGGAGGCGCAGUUUCUACCAAAACGCUCGCCGCAGACAAACUACAUGUCCUAUUUGAAAAGGACUGGACCAUGAGUGAGGGCACAAACACAGCUGGGAUAUAUCCAAAUGGCAAGUUGCUCCUCCUUUCGGUUUUGCCGAGAGAGUGAUGUGUUUGAGUCAUUGAGCGAUGGGCAGGAAAAACUUGACUUUUUCUCCUGCCAUGGGGGGCGCUCUUUUAGGGAGUAAAAAUUCCUUCACAAAUGUGUUGAUGGCUAGACAUUGCAUCAUCCUAGAAAACUUGGAGGCCAGUGAGGACAAAAAUAAAAAGUUAUAAGACAUUUAAGAAUGUGGAUUUUUGGGUUAUCUUUGGCGCCCCCUAGAACAUAAACCGUGGGGUGCAGCGUCAUGAUUUUUACAACUUUGAAUGGCCAUGGGGUGUAGAUUGGCCUGAGUAAAUUUGGUGUCAGUGGAACGAAAGCUUUAGGAGGAGUUAGCCACAUUCCAAUGUGUGCGAAUCGACCAAAAAUGCGAAAUAGCCCUUUAACCGUACAUUUUACAGAUACGCGCCCAUUGACUAUUUCGUAGAUCUUAUUGAGAAACACGUGAUUGUUAAAGUUUGUUUCAAUAUGACAAAGCAUACAGGCGUGACACUCAAUAAUGUGAAUUUUCACCUUAGGGGGGAAGAAAAACUGGACUUUUUUCUCCUGCCAUGGGGGGGCGCUCUUUUGGGGAGUAAAAAUUCCUUCACAAAUGUGUUGAUGGCUAGACAUUGCAUCAUCCUAGAAAACUUGGAGGCCAGUGAGGACAAAAAUAAAAAGUUAUACGACUUUUAAGAAUGUGGAUUUUUGGGUUAUCUUUGGCGCCCCCUAAAACGUAAACCGUGGGGUGCAGCGUCAUGAUUUUUACAACUUUUAAUGGCCAUGGGGUGUAGAUUGGCCUGAGCAAAUUUGGUGCCGGUGGAACGAAAGCCUUCGGAGGAGUUAGCGAAAUUCCAAUGUGUGCGGAUCGGCAAAAAAUGCGAAAUAGCCCUUUAACCGUACAUUUGACAGAUACGCCCACA